UUACUCAGUGUUGUUGGUCAUAGUGUGUCAAAUAGUUGGAUUGCCAUUCCUUGCCUUUUUGCAAAACAAAAUGAUUAAUAAUUUCGUGAGAUCUCAAAAAAUAUCAUCAACAUUAGGCCAUUCAAAUUCCUUUCCGGCCAAAUGAGCUUCACCAGCUUCCUCUCUUAUUUUCCAAUAUUCGUUGUUAAACUGCCAAUAGUCUUCACCAGUAACGGGAUGCUUAGCCGCCGAAAACCACCUUGGAGACCAUGGUGGCAUUUCGCCUUGCUCACGCAUACGGCGUUUUUUCCUCUGCUUUUCUUCAAGGCGGUUUUUCUCAGAUGCUGCUAAGUCAUAUUGUCCAUUUUCCAUUGCUCUUUGGUCAGGUCGCAAACGCGUAUCAGUGGGAGGAAGCCAGGGUUUUAACUGUGGAGUGAGCGCAUUAAGUGAAAUUGCGAAAGGGGUUAAAUUGAAAGGACGAGGCGGUCUUUCAUGAUUUUGCCAUAGCAGAAUCUUAUUUCCAUUUGGCUGCUGACCAAAAAUUUUAUCAUUCCAGUGUCCGUUAACCAUCCAUUUAGGAGUAUCAUCCGUCGAUUGUACACUUCCUUUAACUUCAUGGGCAUUUGUACCUCUCCAUCCACGAGGUUUGAAAUCAAGGACACAAUUGAUUCCACUGCUGUGGUUUACAAUAUGCAUUUGGCCAUAGUUAUCCACCGAUGGGCUUCCAAGAAUAAUCCCUACGACAGAUGAGGUGACCUUUUUCCAAGUAUACAAUUCAACUUCCCCAGAAGGAUGUCUUAAUUCCAAAAACCAUGUACCAAGGGGUGAGAUAUCAAAACUUUUACCAUAGAAUUUCGACUUAACACUUGAUUCUCCGUAAUAUUUCCAGUUCGCGGAUUCCGAAUAAGCAGCUCCAACAGGAGGAUGGUGACUAACUUGUUCCACAAUAAACCUGAAUCCACGUUGAGGGUGACAAAAUUCAUAUGUUUCUCCUAACAAAGGAUUGAAUGGUUUGGCAACGCGGUUUAAAGUACUGGCAUAUUCCGAGGCAGCAAAUGCAGCGACGUAAAGAAUGCGUUGGUAUGGAUCUUUAUUGUGUGAAGCUUGAUCUAAUAAUUCAGUAUAUUCCAUGUCUUCAGCUACUCGCUGCAACAAACUUGUGGGUUCAUUGAAGCUUACUGGCAAAGUCAUUUUGGUCAUGUCCUUUCCAAUCAUUCCUUUAAGGAUUCCCCAAAGACUGAUUUUCGGACGAUCGUCAUUAACAUCGAGAUUCUCUCUCGUAGGUGCCUCAUAUCCAUGAAAAGAAACUGCUAUUUGUUUAGCAAGCUGCAUAGUUUUCUCGUCUAAUGACGGCUUUGAAGCAUGUGUUAGUUCGGAUGACACAGAUUUCUUGUCCGCGUCAGGCUUCAAAUGACUAUCAUUAGAAACUUUGGUAGAAGCAGUAGAGGCAUUAUCUGGAAUGGAUGCUUCUUUGGGAGCCUCUUUUGCCUGCGUGUCGUCAGUAUUCCGAGAAAGCUGAGACGCAUUGGAAGGUUUUGCUUGAUGACUUACAGGUUUCUCAGAUACUUCUUUAGCUUUAGGAGCAGAUACAUCGCUUUGAAUAGAUUUUUGGACUUCCACAGGUUGUUGAUGUUGGGUGGACUGUUUACUUUCACUACUUUGCUGACUAGGUAAGGAUUCUUGACGCAGUUGUUGGCCCCCAGAAGGUUGCUUACUAGGGAUAGAUUCUUUGCGGAGAUGCUUAGUUUCAGUAGUUUGUUGACUGGGUAAGGAUUCUUGACGCGCGUGUUGGCCUUCAGUAGGUUGCUUACUAGGAAUAGAUUCUUUGCGGAGAUGCUUAGUUUCAGUAGUUUGUUGACUGGGUAAGGAUUCUUGACGCGUGUGUUGGCCUUCAGUAGGUUGCUUACUAGGAGUAGAUUCUUUGCGGAGAUGCUUAGUUUCAGUAGUUUGUUGACUGGGUAAGGAUUCUUGACGCGCGUGUUGGCCUUCAGUAGGUUGCUUGCUAGGGAUAGAUUCCUUACGAUGGUGGUUGCUCACGGUAGAUUGUUGACUAGGUAAUGAUUCCUUGCCAAGGUGUUGUUCGUCAGAAGGUUGUUUGCUAGGGAUAGAUCCAUUGUUAUCUCUUCUUUCAGUAAAUUCUUCUGUUUGAUCGGUCAACGUUGUUUUUCGGAUGUCCGCUAUGUUUUGUUUCGUUUCUGGAGAUGACACAUCAGUCGUUGUUUUAAGAGAAGGUUGUGGCUUAUGUUCAGAAGAAAAUGAUGGUUCUCUAAUUUCAUGAACAUUAUUAGCUGUCUGACUAGGCUCUGCUUUGUUUGCAUGGUUAUUAUCAUGAGCGUCAACAUCGAAAAACUCAUCUUUCGUAUUAGUUUCUUCUUCGUCAUCAGUAAAAUCGGUAGAAUACGAUGUUGAAGACAUAGCACCAUCAUCAUAGUGAAUAUGAAGCUUGUUGUCUUUAUCACUUGGUCUUUUCUUAAGUGAAGCAGCCAGUCUACGGAAAGCUCUCUUAGUCCGCCGACGAUGAGCUUCGCUUCUAUGAUAGCGCUCUUCUAUCUGGUCUUGUUCUUCAACGACAGUCUUUAAGUUUUCGGCCCAAAGAGCAUUAAUUGCCUUGGCAUUAUCAAGCUUUCGCUUAUAAUAAUGUUCAGCUUGACGUUGUAAAUCAAGCAUUUCCAAAACAGUUUUAUGCAACGUAUUAAACGAAUUUGAAAUACCGUCGAAAACUUGAGACAAGGAAGGAUCUUUUUUAACUUUUUCAGUUUGCAUCGCAGAAUCUAUUAGUUUAUGGAGAGUCUCCACCUGAAGUUUGGCAAUAUUUACAUUAAAUUCAAAAUUCUCACGUGAAGGUAAUUGAGCACGAUCGAUAUCUGACUCAUUAUCAUCCCAGCCCGAAUUUCCAGAAGCAUUGGAUUGGGUAAAUUUAUGAGCCGCUGGUGCCAAGUCAUGUGUUCCGAAAGAAGCGUUAUCAGCCGUCACAUUAGGCUUAUUAGCUUCUUCAUCAUUUUCGAUGGCUGAAGAAAUAGCAGCAAUCCAUUUUUUAGCUUCCACAGGAGAAUUAGCUUUAACACUGUAGCGCACAGAUCCCUUACCAAUUACUUGAAAGACGGUUGGUUGUUUGGGAUCGUGAACUAAUCUGGCAAGCUUAAGAUUGAUGGAACCACGGCAUGCAGAGGAAGCAUCAUCUUGAUUUUUGUAAUAGGAUAAGACUCCAUUGUUUAAGGUAAACCAACGAAGCUUGUAUCCAGAUUUGUAAUUCGUCCACUUCUUUAGAUAACCAGACAUAUGUUGAGGCACUGCAGGGGCAGAACUAGAGUCUCUGUUUCCAGAGUAUGAACGCAAUAAACUGCGCAUAUUUUCAUCUUUGGUGUAAUCCGUUGGCAACUUACCAAAUUUAUCACGACGAUAAGGAUCGGCUCCGUUGUCAAGUAGCCAUUUCACAAGUUCGGCAUCCUUUGCUUUUGUAGCGACGUGUAGGUAAGUCUGUCCUGUUUUUAUAUCAACUUCAUUCAAAUC